GCGUCUGUAGCUCAGUGGAUAGAGCGUCUGUUUCCUAAGCAGAAAGUCAUAGGUUCGACCCCCAUCUGGCGCG
rnacentral:tRNA from 1 species